CCCGGUGAGGUUAUUAGCUUUUAACGGCCGCAGUUGAUAGCUGUGCUAAGGUAGCGUAAUUAGUUGCCCUUUAAAUGAGGGAGGGAAUGAAUGGUUUGACGUAAUGGAGACUGUCUUUAAAGUAAAAGGUGAAUUUUUCUUCUCAGUGAAAAGGCUGAGAUUUAAUUAUUAGACGAGAAGACCCUAUCGAGCUUGAAUAAAACAGUGAGUUUUUGUUGGUAAAAGUUUGAUUGGGGCAAUCCAGGAGCAACAAAAGCCUCCUUAUUGGCGUAUGGAGCCAGAAAUUUUUGAAUUCAGAAAAAGCUACCGUAGGGAUAACAGCGUAAUUUUUUCUGAGAGAACAUAUUGAAGAAAAG
rnacentral:rRNA from 1 species